GAUGAACGCUGGCGGCGUGCCUAAUACAUGCAAGUCGAGCGAACGGACGAGAAGCUUGCUUCUCUGAUGUUAGCGGCGGACGGGUGAGUAACACGUGGAUAACCUACCUAUAAGACUGGGAUAACUUCGGGAAACCGUAGCUAAUACCGGAUAAUAUUUUGAACCGCAUGGUUCAAAAGUGAAAGACGGUCUUGCUGUCACUUAUAGAUGGAUCCGCGCUGCAUUAGCUAGUUGGUAAGGUAACGGCUUACCAAGGCAACGAUGCAUAGCCGAACUGAGAGGGGGAUCGGCCACACUGGAGCUGAGACGCGGUCCAGACUCCUACGGGAGGCAGCAGUAGGGAAUCGUCCGCAAUGGGCGAAAGCCUGACGGAGCAACGCCGCGUGAGUGAUGAAGGUCUUCGGAUCGUAAAACUCUGUUAUUAGGGAAGAACAUAUGUGUAAGUAACUGUGCACAGCUUGACGGUACCUAAUCAGAAAGCCACGGCUAACUACGUG
rnacentral:rRNA from 1 species